CCCUUAGAUGCUCUGGGCCGCACGCGCGCUACACUGGUCGAUGCAACGAGUUUCUUUCCUUGGCCGACAGGCCUGGGCAAUCUUUGAACAUCGAUCGUGAUCGGGAUAGAUUCUUGUAAUUUUUGAUCUUAAACGAGGAAUUCCUAGUAAACGCAAGUCAUCAGCUUGCAUUGAUUACGUCCCUGCCCUUUGUACACACCGCCCGUCGCUCCUACCGAUUGAAACAUACGGUGAAAUUCUCGGAGAGAAGAGUUAGCGUGUUAAGUUCGCUUAGCACGCGCUAGUCUCAAAGUUAAUUAAAUCUCAUGUUUUAGAGGAAGGAGAAGUCGUAACA
rnacentral:rRNA from 1 species